GACGAACGCUGGCGGCGUGCCUAAUACAUGCAAGUCGAGCGGAAUGAUGAAGAAGCUUGCUUCUUCUGAUUUUAGCGGCGGACGGGUGAGUAACACGUGGGCAACCUACCUUGUAGAUUGGGAUAACUCCGGGAAACCGGGGCUAAUACCGAAUAAUCCAUUUUGCUUCAUGGCGAGAUGUUGAAAGACGGUUUCGGCUGUCACUAUAAGAUGGGCCCGCGGCGCAUUAGCUAGUUGGUGGGGUAACGGCCUACCAAGUCUACGAUCCAUAGCUGGUUUUAGAGGAUGAUCAGCAACACUGGGACUGAGACACGGCCCAGACUCCUACGGGAGGCAGCAGUAGGGAAUCUUCCACAAUGGACGAAAGUCUGAUGGAGCAACGCCGCGUGAGUGAAGAAGGUUUUCGGAUCGUAAAACUCUGUUGUAAGGGAAGAACACGUACGAGAGUAACUGCUCGUACCUUGACGGUACCUUAUUAGAAAGCCACGGCUAACUACGUG
rnacentral:rRNA from 1 species